UACGUAGGGCGCAAGCGUUGUCCGGAAUUAUUGGGCGUAAAGAGCUCGUAGGCGGCUUGUCACGUCUGCUGUGAAAUCCCGGGGCUCAACCCCGGGCGUGCAGUGGAUACGGGCUGGCUAGAGGCAGGCAGGGGAGAACGGAAUUCCCGGUGUAGCGGUGAAAUGCGCAGAUAUCGGGAGGAACACCGGUGGCGAAGGCGGUUCUCUGGGCCUGUACUGACGCUGAGGCGCGAAAGCUAGGGGAGCAAACAGG
rnacentral:rRNA from 1 species